UGGGUAACCUGCCCAAGAGAUCGGGAUAAUACCUGGAAACAGAUGCUAAUACCGGAUAACAACAGAUGAUGCCUAUCAACUGUUUAAAAGAUGGUUCUGCUAUCACUCUUGGAUGGACCUGCGGUGCAUUAGCUAGUUGGUAGGGUAACGGCCUACCAAGGCGAUUAUGCAUAGCCGAGUUGAGAGACUGAUCGGCCACAUUGGGACUGAGACACGGCCCAAACUCCUACGGGAGGCAGCAGGG
rnacentral:rRNA from 1 species